GUUGUGGCUCCCCUCUCUAAUUCUUGCUCCCCAGGUGAGAGUGCUUUGUGAAUGCAAUCCACCUGGGCAAGGAUUCUGAAUGUGAGAGCU
rnacentral:pre_miRNA from 8 species